GCAGAGACAUUCCGGUGAUCUCUCUGGAUGGAAUGGAGGGGCCAGAGAGAGGAAGAAAGUAAGUAACGCCUGCAAGCAAUGGGGAAUUUUAAGGAUCUGGUGCGCACCAUGACUCAGUUCCCCCGAGACUUCUUCGCCCUUCCCUCAUAGCAGCAGUCAUCUGCAUUGGAGAGAAAUCUGCACUUACUUCGGUCAGCCCCUGCACCAACGUGACUACAACCGCUGGCUGUAGAGAGAUUGAUUGUGGACAAGUACAGCACUGGAGAGAAGUCUGCACUUACCCCAAAUACCCACAGCCUGAUAUGACCCUGAGACUGAAGCCAUUACCCUGCUCCUCCAAGACAAGGUGGGUGGCCUUCGGAUCACUGUCGACCAUAUCCAGGGAGCUUUCCACAAAAUGAUUUCCUCUCAUCCGCAAUGUUCAGAACCAUCUGCGGAGGAAUGUUGUCCGAGAGAGUGAUGGCUCCGGAGUGUUCAGUCGACGCUUCUGCAGAGGAAUGUUGUAAGUCCCACAUACUGAGGGCCUCCAAAGGAUUUCUUGACUUCAAUUACAUAAAUUCAUGUGCUGAUUUUUUCUC